rnacentral:lncRNA from 1 species
CUGCAGUCCCUUUAAACCCGCCCCAUCCCGUGACUCUGCAAUUCGUGUCCUUCACGUAUAAACCCUUCACACAUCCCUGCAGCUGGAGCCUCCUCACCCUCAGGGAACACGCGGCUGUUUCCCCCUGCCGAGCACCGGGGCCGCCAUGGCGGCCGAGCCCUGAGGCAGCGGGGCCGGGGCCGCGCCAUCUUGUCGGGGGCGGAGGAAGAGCCCGUCCCGCCCCGUGCUCUGCCUGCCGGGGCCGCCCGGCCCCGCCGCACUCGCCGCGGAGACCGAGCGGAGCGGAGCCGCAGCCCCCAGCGCCAUUGCCGCCCUCAGCCCGCCAUGGCAGGUUUUUGAAAGGCUGGAUUGCAGGAAAAGCAGAGACUCCUGAGAGUCACCCUGGCCCUGCCCUCAGCCCCAGGAGCCCUGGAACGUUUCCUCUGGAAGUGCUGUGAGUUCCCUGAUUAUUCCCAGGAAAGAUUGUGCAGUAAAUCCCAAAGGAGCGAAAGGUCACUGAGCAAGAAGGGCACAACUCUCCCAACUGGAUAAUUAAAACGAAAAUUAAAAAGUGUGCUAAGUUGAGAUUGACUUGUGGCCAUGCUUUGAAGAUUAAAAGGGCUUUUUUUCAUUUCGGAUGCAGGAGGUUGGGAUUGGUGGGAGAAGGAGUUGGGCUGGGAAUUACUGAGCUGUGAAUGCCAGGUUCACUGCCCAAAAACGAUGGAUAUCUGCUCUUUCCCCCCUCUUUUUACAGCAUUUAGUCUUGCAGCUGGAGCUUUCAGCCUGGGUGAUGCAGGGUGAUUUUUAGGCAUCCGAGCAAAUGACGUCUUGAAGGAAAAAGUAAGCAAAUGAUUGUGCUCAGAAGUGUUUUGCCUUUGGAAAAUUAAACCAGCAGCGGCUUCUGCUGAAGGGUGGCACUUUCCAUGGUCUUUGCACUGCCUGCUGGAUUUUUCUGUACAGUUCUGAAACAAAAAUAGGGGCAGAAAGGUAAAAUCUGGGUGUGCAGAGUGACCGUGUGCGGGAUUUGGA